GAUGAACGCUGGCGGCGUGCCUAAUACAUGCAAGUCGAGCGAACGGACGAGAAGCUUGCUUCUCUGAUGUUAGCGGCGGACGGGUGAGUAACACGUGGAUAACCUACCUAUAAGACUGGGAUAACUUCGGGAAACCGGAGCUAAUACCGGAUAAUAUUUUGAACCGCAUGGUUCAAAAGUGAAAGACGGUCUUGCAGUCACUUAUAGAUGGAUCCGCGCUGCAUUAGCUAUUUGGUAAGGUAACGGCUUACCAAGGCAACGAUGCAUAGCCGACCUGAGAGGGAGGUCAGCCAGCCUGGAACUGAGAAACGGUCCAGACUCCUACGGGAGGCAGCAGUAGGGAAUCUUCCGCGAUGGGCGAAAGCCUGACGGAGCAACGCCGCGUGAGUGAUGAAGGUCUUCGGAUCGUAAAACUCUGUUAUUAGGGAAGAACAUAUGUGUAAGUAACUGUGCACAUCUUGACGGUACCUAAUCAGAAAGCCACGGCUAACUACGUG
rnacentral:rRNA from 1 species